GUCAGAUACACCACCAGCUAGAGCAACAUGGUUUGAGGCUGGCGUACAAAAGGAAACAUGGACUUCAAAGGCCAUGCACAUGGAGAAGGGAGGAGGUGGCAGGCAUUGGGUGAGGAUUUGCUAGAUGUUGGUGUUGGGAGCGCAAAAGCAAUAAGAUGGAGGUGCAGAUGCGGGCAUGGGAACUAGGAACUACAAUUUC
rnacentral:lncRNA from 1 species